UACGUAGGGUCCGAGCGUUGUCCGGAAUUAUUGGGCGUAAAGGGCUCGUAGGCGGUCUGUUGCGUCGGGAGUGAAAACUUACAGCUUAACUGUGAGCGUGCUUCCGAUACGGGCAGACUUGAGGUAUUCAGGGGAGAACGGAAUUCCUGGUGUAGCGGUGAAAUGCGCAGAUAUCAGGAGGAACACCGGUGGCGAAGGCGGUUCUCUAGGAAUAUCCUGACGCUGAGGAGCGAAAGUGUGGGGAGCGAACAGG
rnacentral:rRNA from 1 species